rnacentral:rRNA from 14 species
CAUGGUCAGGUUGAAGCUCUGGUAACACAGAGUGGAGGACCGAACCCGUUCAUGUUGAAAAAUGUUGGGAUGAACUGUGGGUAGGGGUGAAAGGCUAAUCAAACCGGGAAAUAGCUCGUACUCCCCGAAAUGUAUUUAGGUACAGCGUUGAGGUAGAGUUAUAUAGAGGUAGAGCUACUGAUUGGGCUAGGGGGCUUCACCGCCUACCAAACCCUGACAAACUCCGAAUGCUAUAUAAUAUACUCAGCAGUGAGG